rnacentral:rRNA from 1 species
CUACGGGUCGCAGCAGUGAGGAAUAUUGCACAAUGGGGGGAACCCUGAUGCAGCAACGCCGCGUGGAGGAUGACGCAUGUCGGUGUGUAAACUCCUUUUAUAUGUCAAGAAAAUGACGGUAGCAUAUGAAUAAGCACCGGCUAACUCCGUGCCAGCAGCCGCGGUAAUACGGAGGGUGCAAGCGUUACUCGGAAUCACUGGGCGUAAAGGACGCGUAGGCGGGUUGGAAAGUCAGGUGUGAAAUCCUACAGCUUAACUGUAGAACUGCACUUGAAACUUCUAAUCUAGAGUAUGGGAGGGGGAGAUGGAAUUAGUGGUGUAGGGGUAAAAUCCGUAGAUAUCACUAGGAAUACCUAAAGCGAAGGCGAUCUCCUGGAACAUUACUGACACUAAGGCGUGAAAGCGUGGCGAGCAAACAGGAUUAGAUACCCGAGUAGUC